rnacentral:misc_RNA from 1 species
GUUUGAUGUGGCCGUUGUCUCGCUCUCCUCACCUUCGUCGCUGCCUGGCAAUGUCCCAGUAGUGUACCCCUGCCACAACACUCUACAUGCUUGCCCAUCAAAUCCUCGGCGUCUCGUGCGUCUCCAUCUUGUCGUGGCAUCUGCCGUGGAUUGUGGUCCUCUUUUCGUGUGUGCUCUUCCGCUGCCACAGUUACUGUGAUUGAUGUUACCUUUCAAGGGAGGCGGCAGAGGUGGGUGGGUGGGUGGUGGUGCAGGAGACGGCGACGUGGUGGUUACAGGCGGAACCGAAAGAAAAACAAGAGAGAACGCGAUGGGGAUAUACGAUGUGUGGUGUCGCUGUGUGCUGUGGCGUUUGCCGGCGACCGCCCCGCUCCCACAUCGCCUCCGCCGCGGUGCCAUUGAUGUUGCGGUCAUCAUCACCAUGGCAGCUAAAGAGCCGUACCCUUCCCCUCUCUCUUUCUUUCCAUCUCGCACUUGUGACGCAUCUUCUGUCCCUCAUGUUGUUAGACACAUGACCG